UGUCUGGAGAUAAUGAUGGUUACAAGCACAUAUCCUAAUCAUUUUAUGUGGAAAUAUAUUUCACUGAAUCUCCCGUCC